rnacentral:misc_RNA from 1 species
UUCUGAAAACGGUUGUUGGUA